AACCGACACUACGUGAUCGCACGCAACAGACGUACUCUUUGGAGCUCCUAGAUUGUUGUCCAUAAAUGUGUUUUAGAUUGGCAGCAGUGUUGCCUCUACUUCACAUCUUGCAAAGUUGGCGAGAAAAGACGUACAUCUUCGAGCUCCUCAACUUUCGUUCAUAAAUGGUUGGCUGCAGUGUCGUUAGUAUGUUCAGUGUUCUGCAAUGAAAAGACAGUUUGUUUCUGAGCUCCUAUUUUUCGUCUACAAAAAGAUAAAGCGCAUGAUAACUUUUUGGAAAUUCGAGGCUUUUUGGAAAAGAAAAUUCAGACAAAAUUUAGAUGGAAAAUUGUGUCAAUUGAAACAAGGAAAUGUGGGUCAAGAACAGUAUAUAUUCCAGAGUUGCAUAGUAGGCUCAUAAUCAUCGUUUUUCCAGAAUCGGAAGGAAGAUCUGCAUAAUUUCACAGAUGUCGAAAAGAAAAGGGGGAGGCGACCGAUCUAGGAGGACUAUUCUAGGAAGAUCAAUCAAGUUUGACCAAUCGGGAUUUUGAUCCGGGUCAAGUUUAACCGAUCGGUAGGAUUUCCGGAUUUUCUUGUGUCUGGACUAUUUGGGCACAAGUUCUGGACCAUUUGGACUUCAUGGACAAUCAAUUUAGGUGGACCAUUCUAGAAGGAUAAUAUCCGGAGGGACUAUACAAGGAACAUCAAAUCAAUGAAUUGGUUUCUUUGAAGAAAGUUUCUUUUGCGGAGCUACUCCUGAGAGGGACAUCGCGGGUGCAUAAUUUAACAACUGCAGAGCGUAUAGUUCAGAAUAAAGUGACAAAUUAGAAGGACAAUCAGAUGGACAGAGGAUGUGCGUAGAAGAAAAGUGACGCCAUUAGAAAUGCAUUGGAGCCAGGGACCUUCCAGGGUUCGAUCAGGAUGAUCGCAACGAAAUAUUGAGUCUUAUUUUUUAUUUGAUUUUUAUUAUAUUUACCCUUUCCUGUUUGUUUUGUUAAUUUUUGAAAAAACAGGGAAGGAGUCGUAACAACAUAGUGACACCAUUGACAAAUACAUUAUUUUCUAGUACUUUUUUUAAAAGUAAGUAAAUUAAUAUAUUUGUCAAUGUUUUAACUGUUUAGUUAUUAUG